AUUGAACGCUGGCGGCAGGCCUAACACAUGCAAGUCGAGCGGAUGAAGGGAGCUUGCUCCUGGAUUCAGCGGCGGACGGGUGAGUAAUGCCUAGGAAUCUGCCUGGUAGUGGGGGAUAACGUCCGGAAACGGGCGCUAAUACCGCAUACGUCCUGAGGGAGAAAGUGGGGGAUCUUCGGACCUCACGCUAUCAGAUGAGCCUAGGUCGGAUUAGCUAGUUGGUGGGGUAAAGGCCUACCAAGGCGACGAUCCGUAACUGGUCUGAGAGGAUGAUCAGUCACACUGGAACUGAGACACGGUCCAGACUCCUACGGGAGGCAGCAGUGGGGAAUAUUGGACAAUGGGCGAAAGCCUGAUCCAGCCAUGCCGCGUGUGUGAAGAAGGUCUUCGGAUUGUAAAGAACUUUAAGUUGGGAGGAAGGGCAGUAAGUUAAUACCUUGCUGUUUUGACGUUACCAACAGAAUAAGCACCGGCUAACUUCGUG
rnacentral:rRNA from 1 species